rnacentral:rRNA from 1 species
UACGUAGGUGGCAAGCGUUGUCCGGAUUUACUGGGUGUAAAGGGCGUGUAGCCGGGCUGACAAGUCAGAUGUGAAAUCCGGGGGCUCAACCCCCGAACUGCAUCUGAAACUGUUGGUCUUGAGUAUCGGAGAGGCAGGCGGAAUUCCUGGUGUAGCGGUGAAAUGCGUAGAUAUCAGGAGGAACACCGGCGGCGAAGGCGGCCUGCUGGACCGUAACUGACGUUGAGGCUCGAAAGCGUGGGGAGCAAACAGG